rnacentral:tRNA from 1 species
GGGGAGGUAGUUCAGUGGUAGAGCACAUGCUUGGCAUACACGAGGCCCUGGAUUCAAUCUCCAGCAUCCUGU